rnacentral:rRNA from 1 species
CCUACGGGAGGCAGCAGUAAGGAAUAUUGGUCAAUGGACGAAAGUCUGAACCAGCCAUGCCGCGUGAAGGAUUAAGGCCCUCUGGGUUGUAAACUUCUUUUAUCUGGGACGAAAAAAGGGUAUUCUUACUCACUUGACGGUACCAGAGGAAUAAGCACCGGCUAACUCCGUGCCAGCAGCCGCGGUAAUACGGAGGGUGCAAGCGUUAUCCGGAUUUACUGGGUUUAAAGGGUGCGUAGGUGGGCUUGUAAGUCAGUGGUGAAAUCUCCGGGCUUAACCCGGAAACUGCCAUUGAUACUAUAGGUCUUGAAUUAUCUGGAGGUAAGCGGAAUAUGUCAUGUAGCGGUGAAAUGCUUAGAUAUGACAUAGAACACCAAUUGCGAAGGCAGCUUACUACGGAUACAUUGACACUGAGGCACGAAAGCGUGGGGAUCAAACAGGAUUAGAUACCCUGGUAGUCCACGCCCUAAACGAUGGAUACUCGACACCAGCGAUACACUGUUGGUGUCUGAGCGAAAGCAUUAAGUAUCCCACCUGGGAAGUACGAUCGCAAGAUUGAAACUCAAAGGAAUUGACGGCUGAGACGNGCGACGACGACGACGAGGGAGGAGG